GGAUGUGAGGGUGAUCUGGCUGCGAUAUCUGUCAUCCCAUUGAUCACCAGGGUUGAUUCGGCUGAUCGGGCUGGCUAGGCGGGUGUUCCCUUCCUCCCUCACCGCUCCACGUGCCUUCCUCCUGAAGCUGCGCGCUUGGUCCAGGAGGAUGCUCUUCCUGCGUAGGGGAGGACCGGUCUUCAGUCCAGGACACUUGAGGCGCUGCGCUGCCCUGCUAGAUCUUCCCAGCAAGAUCUCAAAAGUAUAUUGCUCAGUGUCCAAGAAUUUGUGUCAUUUCUGAGGUUUCUC
rnacentral:sRNA from 1 species